UACGGAGGGGGCGAGCGUUGUUCGGAAUCAUUGGGCGUAAAGGGCGCGUAGGCGGCCGUCCAAGUCGGGUGUGAAAGCCCCCGGGCUCAAACUGGGGAGGGUCACGCGAUACUGAUCGACUCGAAGGCAGGAGAGGGUAGUGGAAUUCCCGGUGUAGUGGUGAAAUGCGUAGAUAUCGGGAGGAACACCGGUGGCGAAGGCGGCGCUCUGGGCUGGAACUGACGCUGAGGAGCGAAAGCGUGGGGAGCGAACGAGG
rnacentral:rRNA from 1 species